rnacentral:rRNA from 1 species
CACUCCUACGGGAGGCAGCAGUGGGGAAUUUUGGACAAUGGGCGAAAGCCUGAUCCAGCCAUGCCGCGUGCAGGAUGAAGGCCUUCGGGUUGUAAACUGCUUUUGUACGGAACGAAACGGCCUUUUCUAAUAAAGAGGGCUAAUGACGGUACCGUAAGAAUAAGCACCGGCUAACUACGUGCCAGCAGCCGCGGUAAUACGUAGGGUGCAAGCGUUAAUCGGAAUUACUGGGCGUAAAGCGUGCGCAGGCGGUUAUGUAAGACAGUUGUGAAAUCCCCGGGCUCAACCUGGGAACUGCAUCUGUGACUGCAUAGCUAGAGUACGGUAGAGGGGGAUGGAAUUCCGCGUGUAGCAGUGAAAUGCGUAGGUAUGCUGAGGAACACCGAUGGCGAAGGCAAUCCCCUGGACCUGUACUGACGCUCAUGCACGAAAGCGUGGGGAGCAAACAGGAUUAGAUACCCCUGUAGUCCCA